rnacentral:rRNA from 1 species
GAUGAACGCUGGCGGCGUGCCUAAUACAUGCAAGUCGAGCGAACUGAUUAGAAGCUUGCUUCUAUGACGUUAGCGGCGGACGGGUGAGUAACACGUGGGCAACCUGCCUGUAAGACUGGGAUAACUUCGGGAAACCGAAGCUAAUACCGGAUAGGAUCUUCUCCUUCAUGGGAGAUGAUUGAAAGAUGGUUUCGGCUAUCACUUGCAGAUGGGCCCGCGGUGCAUUAGCUAGUUGGUGAGGUAACGGCUCACCAAGGCAACGAUGCAUAGCCGACCGGAGAGGGUGAUCGGCCACACUGGGACUGAGACACGGGCCAGACUCCUACGGGAGGGAGCAGUAGGGAAUUUUUCGCAAUGGGCGCAAGCCUGACGAAGCAACGCCGCGUGGAGGAUGAAGGUCUUCGGAUUGUAAACUCCUGUCGACCGGGACGAAUGCACCCGACCUAAUACGUCGGAGUGUUGACGGUACCGGUGGAGGAAGCCACGGCUAACUCUGUGCCAGCCGCCGCGGUAAAAC